rnacentral:tRNA from 1 species
UAAAAAUUAAGUUAAUAAAAACUAAAGUGUUUCAAACACUUAAAUAAGUAAAUUUAUUUU